rnacentral:rRNA from 1 species
GACAGAGGGUGCAAACGUUGUUCGGAAUUACUGGGCGUAAAGCGAGUGUAGGCGGUGUGGUAAGUCGGAUGUGAAAGCCCCGGGCUCAACCCGGGAAGUGCACUCGAUACUGCCACGCUAGAGUAUCGGAGAGGUUGGUGGAAUUCUCGGUGUAGAGGUGAAAUUCGUAGAUAUCGAGAGGAACACCGGUGGCGAAGGCGGCCAACUGGACGAAUACUGACGCUGAGAACUCGAAAGCGUGGGGGAGCAAAACAGG